AGUACGUGUGUGUGUGUGUGUGUGUGUAUUUAUAUAUAUAUAUAUAUAUACAUACACACACAUAUAUAUGCACAUGUACA
rnacentral:miRNA from 1 species